rnacentral:rRNA from 1 species
GUUAAAGGUUUACCGCCUUGGGAUAGGCUUGCGUCUGAUUUAGCCUUAGUUGGUGUGGUAACGGGCACACCAAGGCUACGAUCAGUAACUGGUCUGAGAGGAUGAUCAGUCACACUGGAACUGAGACACGGUCCAGACUCCUACGGGAGGCAGCAGUGAGGAAUAUUGGGCAAUGCUCGAAAGAGUGACCCAGCAACGCCGCGUGGAGGAUGAAGGUAUUCUAUAUCGUAAACUCCUGUGAGAGCAGACGAAAGACAGAUUAUUAAUCUGGAUGACUGUAUGCUCAGAGGAAGCCCCGGCUAACUACGUG